rnacentral:misc_RNA from 1 species
ACCUCAACCGCAUCAGCCACCACGCCCACCGCCCCACCCCGCGCAUCACCACCGCCGUCAGUCCCCUCCCCCUCACUGCGCUGCACGGACGCCUGCCUGGACACAGACACGCAUACACACGGAACCGGCCCUUUUAUACGACUCCCAUCUUCUCUUUACCGGUUCUCCGCCACUCAAGAUGCCCUUCCGCGCCCACGUUGGUCAGCACCUCCUCCGGGAGACAGCAGCUAUGGGUCUGCCGGAACUGCUUGUCCCGCCCUUUGAGUGGCCGCUCGUCAUCACAGCGUUGGACGUGCUCGAGAGUACGAAUCGCGCAUCAGCGCAGCCGCCCGACACCGACGUGAACGAUGUUGCCGCCGCCUUUGAGGACAUCCGCGAUGAUGUCAUGGAACCGGAGUGCGUUGCAGCGCCGUGGGAGGCGCAGCGCCACCACCGGCGUGCAGUGUGCUGUCUGGUUCAGCAGCUCGCCGGUCCGCAAUUUCGGGUUCUGCCAUGGGACCCGGACGCUAUGCAGCAGCGCGUGGUCGCCUCCACUACCCCAUCGCGGGGGCCGCCCCUGACGCUGCCAGCUCUGCCGCCUCGCCGUGUGUUCCUCGCGGAGAGCACCGACUUCGCCGGUCGCGGGUGCGUCGUGAAGCUGCUCCCUGCACCUGCCCUGCAGCGCAGCCAUGCACACAUGGGGGCGAUCUCGAGUGCGACUGGCCCGUCGACCCCUGGCUCUCCCGCGUUCACUCAGCGAUGGUCCCCGUACUGCCCUGUAGAGGAGCCCGCAGUAGCAGGGGAGGUGGCUGCUCUUCUUCACCUUCGGACUGCUACCUCACCUCGCGAUGGCCGUGAUGGAGUGCUCGGGCGACGAGUUCUCGAAGCACACCCCAACGUCGUCACCUUAUUUGGAGUAGUCACCGCCGAGGAGAGGGUGUGCUGCUGCGGGUACGCCGGCGGCAUCGAAACGCCGAUAGCCACGGCGGCGAUGACGCACGGAGCAGGUCUUGUCGAGGGUGUCGAUCCCGCUGCUGUUUCCCUCUGCCAAGUGCGUGCAGUGCUGUUGGAGAACGUCUCCGGCGGUGCGUGGUGCGACUUCCUCGCCACCUACGGCAAGUUUCUGACGCCUCUAUGCGUCAUGCGCUGGUUCAGGGACGUGGUUACCGGCCUGGCGCACCUUCACAGCCGCUUUAUCGCCCACGGCAACCUCACGCCGGCCAACCUUCUGGUGCGGCUGACAGCUGCUGGGCCACAAGGCGUCUGUGGGGGCGCGGGCGCCGCCGCUCAGGGGUACGACUGCGUGAAGCCGCUGCUGGAAGCGCUGACACCCUCGGCGGACAUCGUCGAGAUCACGGGCGCCAACGGCUCUGCUACGGUGCGGUGCGAGCAGAUGAUCGUCUCGGCGCUGCUGGAGAGAACGCAGCUGGUUCUCAGCGGUUUCCGCUGCGCGGCGCGGAUGAGCAAUGACGACGGCGGCUGGGCUGCUGCGCAUGCUGCGGAGACGGAAGACGACGUGCUUUUCGGACGCAGUGCUGCGGACAAGGGUCGGCGUUCGCUGCGGACAGAGUCUCGCGAACCCCGCACUGAUGCGGUGGGCGCAUGUGCCGCUGCUGCGGAUCUGUGGAACGCGGCCUUUGCAUUCUACCUGCUGCUUGUCGGCGGCGCGACGGCGGUGGCCCGCGGGUGGGGUGCACUCGCGACGUCUGACACUGGUCUGGGCGGAGCUGGAACCCCGAAACAUCUGCGUGGUUUUGUUGCGAGUCGCCUACCACGGCUGGUGAGCAUGCGGUUCCCAGGAGCGCUGUCAACGGACCCGGUGCAGAGUGUGGACGGUAGGAGCGAGAGCGCCUGCGAAGUGGCGCAGGGCUACUCGGGCCCGGAGAUGGUCGCACGCCUCGUAUCGCACACCGACGCAUCAGGUGCCGUGCUGCCUCUCAACGCAGCUCAAAUGGGAUUGCAGCUGCGUCUGCUGUGGACGGCGCUUCCCCGCGAGUUUCUCGAGAUUCUGGACAAUAUCCUGCAGGGCGACGGGGAUGCCGCCAACCGGCAGACGGCGGCAGAAACUGCGCGCCUUGUGGACCAAAUAAUGGCCUCGCCGCCAGUGCUGCAGCGGUGCAUCGUAUGUGCCGUACCCCCGCCUGCACUGCUGCUGGAGCAAUGGCUGGACUACCUGCAGGACUCAUGGAGUGACUCCUUCGUGUGCCGCCCGAUGGCGCGCAUGCCGCUGGAGCGCGCACUGCAGGACGCGGCUACUCGCAUGCUGUGUCUGCGCGUCGCAAGUGGCGUAUGUGAUGCGGCUCCGCGAUGGCUGCAACUGGCCAGCUGGCGAGCCCGUCUGCUCGAGCUCGAGGGCUUGCUCAGGCAGCCAGCGGAGGUGCUGGAGGAGUGGGCGGCGGUGAGCAACAGUGCGCUCCUUCUGCAAAGCGCGCUGAGAUGGUUAUCUCAGCUCCGAGCCGGUACCCGUCAGCUGGAGCUGCCGCGCGCUGACGUCACCAUCCUCUUGGGCAACAGCGUGCUCCGUGCCCUGGAUGAGGUGACAUUCGCCUAUGAAGAGCAACCCGACAGAAGUCGCGGCACCACGCUCGGUUUCCACGACGCCUUUCGGUGCUUCGUUGCGCGCUGCGUCGCGGGCGGGCAGCCACCGUCGCCACCACUUCUGGAGGAACUUAUCCUCCACGUCGUCAUGGCGGUCUGUUCCCAUCUGCCACGCACCUUCAACGCGCGAGAGGGCCGCCUUGCGUGCAAGUAUGUGCGGGGUUGAGCAGGCUCACUUCCUUCUCUGCUUUCCCUCGUCACCUGACUCUUCAGUUCGAUUGGAGUCAUGUCGUUCCUGUGGUGGCUGCUCUGCGUGCGUGUGCGUGUGCUCAACGGACUCUCGCUGUGUGUUUUGCUUUGUCGUGAGUUUUGUUUGUGUCGGUAAGGGUGUAUGCGCAUCUGCGUGUGCACCAUCGCUGUUUGGCCGAUGAGAUACGCCAAACACUCGCAGACACGCGCCCCCCUUCCCUCUUCGUUGGUUCUCUCGCUUUCUCUCUCUUGUUAUGUCGUGCCCGCGCAGGCGGGUGAGGGAGGGGAGGGGCGGAGUUGAACAGGAAGACACAACGGGAGGAACGCCGCGUGUCUGUGUGGCCCUCAUGUGGCCUUCUUUCCGUGCCCUCGUUAUUCUUUUUUUUCCGUUUUUCGAUUUUUGUUUCCGUUGUCGUCGUUACCUAGCGGCUUCUAACAGAACAUGCUCACACGACAAGCUCCCUCACUCGCCCACAAACAUACACACACACUCAUGCACGCACCUGCGCGCCUGUCUUUCUCCAUCCGUCUCUAUCUUUGUAUGCAUUACAGACACGCGAAAUAGUCCCCCCCCCUCCUCCUUUUCCUGCCCGUCUCGGGGUCCAGGCAUAAAACGGCGCCCUACGCACGCGCAAGAGGCAUACGCGUGGGCGCUUUUCUUCUUCCUCCGUUUCUUUUAUGUGACGUUCCCUUCUCCCGCUCGCCCUCUCUAGCUUGAUAUCUCUGUCCAUCCUGAUAUCACCUCCUCUUACGCAGAGCCUUCGUGGUGCCUUGAUAUUGCCAUAUAUAUUUCUUAUAUAUAUAUAUAUAUGUAUAUAUUUGUGCCGAUGCAUGCAUAUAUAUAGCUGUAUAUAUAUAUAUAUAUACUGAUAAAUUUAUAGUGAUAUAGGUAUGUGUUUAUAUAUAGUAUGUAUAUUUAUAUGCGUAUAUUUAUGCUGUUUUCUUUUUUGAAAAAAAAAAUGCUACAUAUUUCUACCUUUGUGCAUGUGUUUGUCUGUAGUUGCGUGUGCGCUGCCGCCUCACUCUCACGCUUAUUGGACUCGCCUGUUUUGCCACACGUGCGUCAGGGCGGCCGCCACCACCAUCACAGGCUCCGCAUCGGCUUUCCUCUCUCUCCCACACUUGGUACUCUGUUGUUGUAUUUUGUUUUCUUGUUCGUCGUCUUCUCCGUUCUUUUCCCUCUCCCUGUGGGUCGUGUACUCGACCUAAUCAUGCCCACCCCGCCACCUUCUCACGCAUGCUCGUUCCUCAUUGGGGUGUACACAUACCGCGCUGCGGGCCAUCAUGCUGGCAAGCUACACACCCAUCUGUUGAUAUAGAAAAAGGAUUACGAAGCGGAGGGGAGAGGCCGCAGUGGCAUUGGUGCCUCGCAAGAAGAAAGCGAAGGCACACCUUAUCACUAUCACUAAUCCAUCGUGAUUUACAGCUUAUUCUCCUGUCGUCGCAUCUCUCCUCACCACACCACCCAAAGCAGCCCCGUGCAAUUUUUUCUUUUUCGGGGACAGCUACGCAGGUCACUAUAUGUAUAUGUGCCCGUAUGUGUGAUGGUCAGCGCGCCUUCUUCCCUCUUUUUCUUUUGGUGUGUAUGUGUGUGUGUGUGUGUGUGUGCACGCGUGCUCAGCGAAUGGCGUGCACUGCGGCAACGCCCCCCCCUCUCUCCCUCUCUCCCUUCCUUUGCCUUGCCCUCCCCUCCCUCCCAAACCGUAUUUGCUUGUACUUCUCUGCCGCCUCUCUCUCUAUCAAUGGCGACAGUGAGAUGGCCAUAAAGACGGCAUCGCUUCCUUGUACGCACUCUCCUCUGAGCCCCCUUCCUCCUCCUCUCCCCUCCUCCCCCCUCCACACACACACACACUUGGCCCUUACCUCACCCCGAUGAAAGCCGCGGUCUCAGCGCAGCUAGACAUCACCCUCCCCCCUCCCCCAGACAUCACCACCCUUUUCUUCGUUUCUCUCCUCUACUGCCUCGCCCUCUCUCUUUCUCUCUCCCUCCGUGUGUGUUCGUGUGUGUCUGUCGUCUUCUGCCGCUGCCAUCUUGAUGUACUGCCCGUGUCAGCACUAGGCAUAAGAAUUGGAAGGGAGUGGAGACGAGUCACACAGAUCAACCAUGAUAGUGGAGCUAGAGCGUGUAUGGUGUGCGUGCGUCAGUGCGGACCUCCUCAGUGCCUCGACACAGCCGCGGACCGCUUCAACACGGCAUCAGAGACUUCUUUUUUUUUUGGUUUGUUUGUUUGUUGGUGGUGUUUUCCUGCCGACCUUACAACUGCAAGGUGAGAUCAGCUGCGUCCUUGCGGCCGUGUCUAGCUCGCUGGAUUCUCUAUGUUACGCCCAUGAGUGACGGCGUCGUUGGCCUCGUUCAGUGCAGAAUCGCUUGG